UCGACUGUUCGUAACUGGGGACUAUGGACCUUGACACUCCACUCAUCAUCUUGUUUUCUCUGCUGCCCAAACAACUCUUUCAGCGAAAUCUGUCGGCCCAUGGGUACACCACCCUGAUAUAACCCCUGGUCUCCAUGACCCUGGGCGUCACCCUGAUUCCGCUCCGCGGUAACCCUCUCUAGUGCAAAUCUCCUACUCUCCCCACCAUGUACGGCACACUCCUUAAUAAUCUGCGCAUUCAAAGCCCUAGUCUCCGCCGUAGAGCUGGGUGGGGGCUCCGAGAAGAUCCACAGCCCAUAAAUAACUGACUGGCGGCCGUCUGCCGCCUUGAUCGUAGUGGCGCCAGGCUCCGCGCCCGUCGACGCGACCUUCAAAAUGACAUAUUCAUCCGUAAUUUCCACAUCAUCGCCGUCCGCAAGAUUGGCUUCGAAAUUCUGCAUGCCACGCCGG
rnacentral:sRNA from 2 species